rnacentral:rRNA from 1 species
GACGAACGCUGGCGGCGUGCUUAACACAUGCAAGUCGAGCGGUAAGGCCCUUUCGGGGGUACACGAGCGGCGAACGGGUGAGUAACACGUGGGUGACCUGCCCUCAGCUCUGGGAUAAGCCCGGGAAACUGGGUCUAAUACUGGAUAUGACUCCAUGACGCAUGUUGUGGGUGGAAAGCCUUGUGCGGCUGAGGAUGGGCCCGCGGCCUAUCAGCUUGUUGGUGGGGNGAUGGCCUACCAAGGCGACGACGGGUAGCCGGCCUGAGAGGGCGACCGGCACACUGGGACUGAGACACGGCCCAGACUCCUACGGGAGGCAGCAGUGGGGAAUCUUGCGCAAUGGGCGAAAGCCUGACGCAGCGACGCCGCGUGAGGGAUGACGGCCUGG